CAGAGUCUUGCUGUGUUGCCCAGGCCAGAGUGCAAUGGCAUGAUCUCAGCUAACUGCAACCUCCACUUCCUGAGUUCAAGUGAUUCUCGUGCCUCAGCCUCCUGAGAAGCUGAGAUUACAGACGCAUGUAACAUUUGGUGCUGAAACCCAAGACAGGGGACUCCUUCAGAAGACCAGCCCCCUGUCCUCACCCUCAGUCCGGGAGGAGAUCCACCUACGACCUCGGGUCCUCAGACCAGCCCAAGGAACAUCUCACCAAUUUCAAAUUGGGACCCCACUGGAAGUCGGACCAUCCAACUUGGAUUACAGCUGCUCCUAGACCUACUGGAGCAAAAAGCUAAGGCUCCUGGCUGAUUCCUUCCCAGAUCUCCUCGGCUUAGUGGCUAAAGACUGACGCUGCCAAAUCAUCUCGGAAGCCCCCUGGACCAUCACGGAUGCCGAGCUUCGGAUAACUCCUACAGUGGAGGUGAGACCACACUUCUGGAAAGAACUACACUCUAUUUGAUGUUCCACCAAGACAUUUAACCAGCGACGUGUUGCACAGUUGACUUCACUGAGGCUCUGAGCCUUUCUUGUCAUUAGGACAACCCUGAGGGGACACCCUGCUACUUACUUGUGAUGCAGUCACAGGAAAUUAUUCAAAUGAGAAUUUAAAUAAGAUGGAUUUGCAGCUUCAUAGUGAUUUGUGUCAACUAAAAAAAGGAAGUAGUUUUAUAAUGAAAUGUUUACAAUAACACACAUGAAGUUUACAGUUUUAUGUACAUACUUAGUUUUACCAUUAAUGCAGAAGUUAAAUAUAUCUAGAAAUAAUUGCUGAAUAUUACAUAUGUACACACACACAUAUAUUUUGUAUGCGUGUGUAUCUAUCUAUCUAAAUGAUUGGUAGGCAAGAAGCAGUUAGUAAUUAAUUUUUUCACACCUGUGGGCAAUCUUACCUACUAAGUUACCCUUAAUAUUUUCACAAUUUAGUAGUAUAUAAACAAGAUGCAUAUAUUUAAGAGUUGUCAGGCGUAUGGUCAGAAAAUUAGCUACUCAGGUCACAAAUCACUCAGAAUGACUCUGAGAUUUCUUGUUAUUCGUGAUUCCCAUGAUUUGACAUAUACUAACUGAAAAUACUCAGUUCAUCUCACAGCCAGAUAUACCUCAGUUGUAUUAAAGAAUGUAAAGAACUAUGUUGAUUCUGAAACAGUAGUGAAAACUUUCAGCCCUGGUGCCAUUGAAAAAAAUGUUUUACUCAGAUUAUUCUCAGUUCUUUACAAACAUAAUAGUUACAGUUGCUAACUUUUUUUCUGACACACAAGAGAAAUAUACUCCAUCCCAUCAGCAAUAGUGACUCAUUUUUCAGUAAUUUUUAAUUGAGUCUCUACCUCCCUAGGGAAUGCAAAUCAGAAGGAAAGGCCCCACGCUGUGCAUUUAACCCAAACCUCCCCUGCCUGUGCUGACAGCAUAGAAGGCUGAUCUUAGGGACUGGAAGAGCCAGGAAAGCCCUUUUAGCCACCUUUUCUCUCCCACCUCAUCUCCAGGCCUACAGCUACAAGACAACAGACUGAUUUGCUUCACAUUAAAAUAAAGAUCUCUAAUGGGUUCAGUGUAUGUUAUUCAAGUGAUAGAUAUCCUAAAAGGCUUGACUUGACUGCUACUCAAUCUAUGCAUGUGACAAAGUUGCACCAUAAUUUUAUACAAAUUUAAUAAAACAAAAUAAAGAUUUCUCUGAGA
rnacentral:lncRNA from 1 species